CUCAAAUAUUGAGGCACAGGAGCAACUGUUGAUGCAGAUCCAGGCUCAGAAUGAUGAAUUCUCGGCUCUCUUCAAUCUUGAAGACUAUAAAGAUUGAAGCUGCCAUAGCCAAGUUUCGAGAGAUAAAAGACAACAUUAAUGAAGGGUUAAAAUUCUAUGUUACUCUGCAGGAUGCGAUCACAAAUGUAAAGCAGUAGAGCAAUGACUUCGUAAUGACAAGGAACAUCCAGUGCAGAGAAAUGAUUGAAGAUGUUCAAAGACAAGUGGCUGGUCUGAGUUUCCAAGAUAAAAACUCAGGUGCUUUUAGUAGUAGCUACCCACCAGUUGGAAGCCAAAACCAAAGACCCAGUACACAACAAACAGAUCCUCGUCCCCAAACACCUUAUUAUCAACCACCUGAGCAGCCUCCGGUUUCUUCCUACGGACAUCCCCCUCCCUCAUAU